CUGUUUAUGCAUAUACUAAAAGGACUCUAUGCGUGUGCAUAGAAACAAUAAUUGAGAUAAAAAUGAAGUUUUAAAAAAAAAAAAAUUAAGAGCUUCCUUUGUUUUAGUUAGUUUAAUGAGAAAUUAGCAAGAAAGAAUCUGAUUUAAAGGAGUUGAGAAGCUGCUAGCGUAAAACGACACUGUUUUUGGUUUAGAAGGUCACAUUCCUAGCACUUGUGGAAAAGAAGUGAAAUUGUGCGUUUUAUUUGACUUCAAGAAUCAGUUUUGGGCGUUGGCUGGUUUUACUUUUUUCUGAGAAACACGUAUGAAAAGCUUAUCUUAUGCUCUACAGUGGAUCAGAGAGCAAUGGGUUUUUCUUCUGAAACUUCUCUGUAAUUCGUUUAUCUCCUUCUUUCUUCUCUGAGUCUUAGGGUUCUUUCUGGGUGAGAGAAUCAGUGAAGAGAGAGAGAGGGUGUAAAGGGAUUUUGUGCGGUUUAAAGAGUUAAGAGAUCAAUCUUUUUGUAAACCAGCGAAGAAAAUCAGAAUGUACAAUCUUGAAUUCAUAGGGCAGGAGUUUCUUUGUGAGGACCUUACCGAGGACGUGGGAUGCUUCUGCAACUGAACCUCAGGUGCCAUUUGCAAGCCUGUAACUGCUCAACACCGGACAUCUUCAACAAAGAAUACCCGGUUUACCUUCUUAGGCUACAAAAUCAGAGGCUCUACUGGAGCUGCUCUUGUUGGAAGGCCAUGAAGCUCUUACUCUAGGGUGGUUUUUGCUCUUACUUACUGUCCAGCACUGUAACGACUCAGGGAUGGGAUGACUGCGGAAACCGUACAACCCAUAGUUACUGUGUAGUAUGGACAGUACAAGUGUUAUGGCGUUGGUGCAAAUAGGUCAAAAAGAGUUGAAAAGGUCACAAGGCUGCUCCAUUUUUGACAAAAGACAUGACUGUAGGGAAAGAUCGAUUUGGGCAUCAGCUAACCCACUUCAAGAGAAGUUCAUUAUAAGCACUCUAUUUACCUCUUUAUUACAAUCAAGUAAUAAUGUGAUCAUAGGCUUUGAUGGUGUACAAACUUAUUACAAGCUAGGAAAUUCAAUAAUCAGUUAUAUCUACCUAACCA